GGGGAUGUCGCUGGCCUCUCUGGCUCAUUUAGGGGAAGUAAAAGUCGUAACAAGGUAUCUGUUUGGUGAUCCACGGAAGGAUCAUUACCGAGAUUUACAACUCCCAAACCCUUAUGUGAACCGUACCUAUCGUUGCUUCGGCGGGAACGCCCCGGCGCCCUGCGCCCGGAUCCAGGCGCCCGCCGGAGACCCCAAACUCUUGUGUUUUUUUCAGUAUUCUCUGAGUGGCAAACGCAAAAAUAAAUCAAAACUUUUAACAACGGAUCUCUUGGCUCUGGCAUCGAUGAAGAACGCAGCGAAAUGCGAUAAGUAAUGUGAAUUGCAGAAUUCAGUGAAUCAUCGAAUCUUUGAACGCACAUUGCGCCCGUUAGCAUUCUAGCGGGCAUGCCUGUCCGAGCGUCAUUUCAACCCUCAGGGUCCCCGUUCCGGCGGGGAACCUGGUGUUGGGGAUCGGCCCGCCCCGUGCGGCGCCGUCCCCCUAAUUCAUUGGCGGUCUCGCUGCAGCCUCCCCUGCGUAGUAGUUACAACCUCGCAUCGGAGCUCAGCGCGGCCACGCCGUAAAACCCCCGACUUUCUGAACGUUGACCUCGGAUCACGUAGGAAUACCCGCUGAACUUAAGCAUAUCAAUAAGCGGAGGAAAACAUGUCCCCCCCCUUCUAAACCUUAUGCGAGACCUUCCCGUCGUCCAGAAAGUCUCACCUAUCAAUGCUUGACCUCAAAUCAGGUAAGAAUACC
rnacentral:rRNA from 1 species